rnacentral:rRNA from 1 species
UACGUAGGGUGCGAGCGUUGUCCGGAAUUAUUGGGCGUAAAGAGCUCGUAGGCGGUCCGUCGCGUCGGGAGUGAAAACUCGGGGCUCAACCCCGAGCCUGCUUUCGAUACGGGCGGACUAGAGGUAGGUAGGGGAGAACGGAAUUCCUGGUGUAGCGGUGGAAUGCGCAGACAUCAGGAGGAACACCGGUGGCGAAGGCGGUUCUCUGGGCCUUACCUGACGCUGAGGAGCGAAAGCGUGGGGAGCGAACAGG